rnacentral:rRNA from 15 species
AGGUGCAAUCAUACCAGCCCUAAAGCAUCGGAUCCCAUCAGAACUCCGAAGUUAAGCGUGCUUGGGCGAGAGUAGAACUUGGAUGGGUGACCCCCUUGGAAGACAUAAAGUUGCACUCC